AAAUAGUGUAGUAUGUUUGAUAGUUGAGAAGAUAAAAGUAUAAAAAUCUGGAAUACAAACUCACAUUUAAAAGAGCUAAGACCCGCUCUGGUAUGAAAGGCGUACAGCGGUUUGAUCCCCGCUUAUGGGAUAUGAAGUAAAUUUCCUCCGUCCGUGAUAUGAUCAGCACUUGGGUAGAAAGAAACAGCCAAUAGUGUUCACUGGGUAAAAUACUUAAGAUAAAAUAAUUAAAAUAAAAUGGGUACUCACAAGAUAGGAGCAGAUCAACUGCUCCUUGUUAUUAGCGCUGGUGGUAUGAUCCCCACCUAGGAUUACUUGGAGUCCAGUGUGAUAAAAGGAUGCCAGGUAAAAAGCAGAUUAGCGUGUAUUAAAAGAUAAGUGGUAAAAUUAAAAGUAACCAAAUAUACUUUAAUAUAUAAA